AUGAUUUCUUAUGUCACCCAGGACCACCUGCCUCCAAUGGGCUGGACCCUCUCACAUCAAUCAUUAAUCAAGAUAAUACCCCCAUAGACCUACCUACACCAACCAGAAGGAGGCAUUUUCUCAAUAGCGGUUCCUCUUCCCAGAUGAUCCUACCUUGGGUCAUGUUGACCAAGAACUCACCAACACCAAGGUUCAGUCAUUUGUUAGGAAAACUCAUACAGUGUCCAAGGACAAGAGAUGCUUCAAUUGCCAGCCUCCCUUUGUGGCAGAGGCAAGCCUAGAAGACAAGAAGAGCAUCCUUCUCCUCUGGGCAGAUACUCCCACAGACUAUACUUCACUGGCCAGCCCUGACAGCGCCUAGGGCUGGGAUGGGUGACGGAGAGAGACUUUAUGGAACAAUUUUGUGUUUCACACUUCAAGUAUUCCAAUUUAGCCCUUACUGUGACCUUGUAUGGCAGAUAUGAGCUCUCUCUUCUCUCUCUCUCUCUCUCUCUCUCUCUCUCUCUCUCUCUCUCUCUCUCUCUUCUCUCUGUCUCCCCCCCCAUCUCCCUCCCUCCUGUCCUGGGGCUUGAACUCAGGAUGUGGGCACAGUAGGCAACUAUUCCACCAACUGAGUGACAUUCCCAGCUGCCAGUCAUUUCUGACCAGGUGCUUUUAGUUACAAAUAAUGGAAAAUUCCAUGCAAAUGGGCUCGGGAUAUUUUAUCAAGGUAUUUUAUAAAAACCAAGACUCAGCUUCUGAAGGUAAUUGCUGCUAAGCCAGAGUUCCAUUCCCUGGACCCACAUGGUAGAACGAGAGAACUCCUGAAAGUUGUCUUCCGACCUCUAUGCAUGUCCCAUGACCCACGUAAACGUAAAUGGGGCAGGUAUCAGCUUUGCUUAACUAGGGUUUGAGGGGGCGCCUUCUGUCUUCUGGGGGAGGAUUGUUCUCAUGACCUAAGCAAUGCAACCCAUGUUUCCUUUUCUCUCCAUUUUUUAUCUCAUCAGGCUCCACCCAUAUCAGGCCCUCUUCUAAUGACCCCAAGAUGCCUACUGGAGUAGACGAUGCUCCCAACCCAGAACCAACAGAGAAGGGCAGGAGAAAUUCAAGUGUCGAUUGGUUUAAGGUGAUGCUGACAGACGCAUUCAUGUGGGUCCGUGUUUUCCAUCCCCAGAAGAGCUCCGUGAUGUCUGCCGAGGUUCGUGUUUCCAGAGGAGAGAACCGUUGUUAGUUGCUUUGACUGGUCCCAGGGUUGGCCUCAAACUCAUGAUCCUCCUGCCUCAGCCUCCUCAGUGUGGAGUGAUUAUAGGCAUGAGCCACCAUGCCCAAGUUACUUCUUAAAGUAAACUUUUUAGAAAACUAGGACAAUCGUUCUGAAAUCUACUAAAAGGAGAAUUGCAGUUUCCCCAUGAAGGGAAAGUAGACACCGUCAUCGCUAAAUAGUAGACAAAGCCAGGAAAGGGGUGAGAUGAGGGCCACAAGCAGGACUAUUCCUGUCACUGGCACCUGUCACUCUUCAGCAUUUGCCCCCCACCUCUCCUCACCACCCACCUGGACCCACCCUAUCUCUAUAAAAUUGGUCAUGAUUUCUGGGGUAUUGGACUCCUUCAUAGAAUUCAGACAAAAAAAAAAAAAAAACCAAGGUUAACUUUUA